AGUGAACGCUGGCGGUAGGCCUAACACAUGCAAGUCGAACGGCAGCACAGUAAGAGCUUGCUCUUACGGGUGGCGAGUGGCGGACGGGUGAGGAAUACAUCGGAAUCUACUUUUUCGUGGGGGAUAACGUAGGGAAACUUACGCUAAUACCGCAUACGACCUACGGGUGAAAGCAGGGGAUCUUCGGACCUUGCGCGAUUGAAUGGGCCGAUGUCGGAUUAGCUAGUUGGCGGGGUAAAGGCCCACCAAGGCGACGAUCCGUAGCUGGUCUGAGAGGAUGAUCAGCAACACUGGAACUGAGACACGGUCCAGACUCCUACGGGAGGCAGCAGUGGGGAAUAUUGGACAAUGGGCGCAAGCCUGAUCCAGCCAUACCGCGUGGGUGAAGAAGGCCUUCGGGUUGUAAAGCCCUUUUGUUGGGAAAGAAAAGCAGCAGGUUAAUACCCCGCUGUUCUGACGGUACCCAAAGAAUAAGCACCGGCUAACUUCGUG
rnacentral:rRNA from 1 species